rnacentral:misc_RNA from 1 species
UCUCCGUAGGUGAACCUGCGGAGGGAUCAUUACUGAGUGAGGGCUCCGGCCCGACCUCCAACCCUAUGUGAACCGAAGCCUGUUGCUUCGGGGGCGACCCUGCCUUCGUGCGAGGCGCCCCCGGAGGCUCAUUAAACACUGCAUCUUUGCGUCGGAGUUUAAGUAAAUUAAACAAAACUUUCAACAACGGAUCUCUUGGUUCUGGCAUCGAUGAAGAACGCAGC